CUACGGGCGGCUCCAGUGAGGAAUAUUGCACAAUGGAGGAAACUCUGAUGCAGCAACGCCGCGUGGAGGAUGACGCAUUUCGGUGUGUAAACUCCUUUUAUAUGUCAAGAAAAUGACGGUAGCAUAUGAAUAAGCACCGGCUAACUCCGUGCCAGCAGCCGCGGUAAUACGGAGGGUGCAAGCGUUACUCGGAAUCACUGGGCGUAAAGGACGCGUAGGCGGGAUAUCAAGUCAGGUGUGAAAUCCUACAGCUUAACUGUAGAACUGCACUUGAAACUGGUAACCUAGAGUAUGGGAGGGGGAGAUGGAAUUAGUGGUGUAGGGGUAAAAUCCGUAGAUAUCACUAGGAAUACCUAAAGCGAAGGCGAUCUCCUGGAACAUAACUGACGCUAAGGCGUGAAAGCGUGGGGAGCAAACAGGAUUAGAUACCCUAGUAGUC
rnacentral:rRNA from 1 species